AUUGGCAGGGUGAGUCGACCCCUAGGCGAGGCCGAAAGGCGUAGUCGAUGGGAAACAGGUUAAUAUUCCUGUACUUGGUGUUACUGCGAAGGGGGGACGGAGAAGGCUAUGUUGGCCGGGCGACGGUUGUCCCGGUUUAAGCGUGUAGGCUGGUUUUCCAGGCAAAUCCGGAAAAUCAAGGCUGAGGCGUGAUGACGAGGCACUACGGUGCUGAAGCAACAAAUGCCCUGCUUCCAGGAAAAGCCUCUAAGCAUCAGGUAACAUCAAAUCGUACCCCAAACCGACACAGGUGGUCAGGUAGAGAAUACCAAGGCGCUUGAGAGAACUCGGGUGAAGGAACUAGGCAAAAUGGUGCCGUAACUUCGGGAGAAGGCACGCUGAUAUGUAGGUGAAGCGACUUGCUCGUGGAGCUGAAAUCAGUCGAAGAUACCAGCUGGCUGCAACUGUUUAUUAAAAACACAGCACUGUGCAAACACGAAAGUGGACGUAUACGGUGUGACGCCUGCCCGGUGCCGGAAGGUUAAUUGAUGGGGUCAGCGCAAGCGAAGCUCUUGAUCGAAGCCCCGGUAAACGGCGGCCGUAACGAUAACGGUCCUAAGGUAGCGAAAUUCCUUGUCGGGUAAGUUCCGACCUGCACGAAUGGCGUAAUGAUGGCCAGGCUGUCUCCACCCGAGACUCAGUGAAAUUGAACUCGCUGUGAAGAUGCAGUGUACCCGCGGCAAGACGGAAAGACCCCGUGAACCUUUACUAUAGCUUGACACUGAACAUUGAGCCUUGAUGUGUAGGAUAGGUGGGAGGCUUUGAAGUGUGGACGCCAGUCUGCAUGGAGCCGACCUUGAAAUACCACCCUUUAAUGUUUGAUGUUCUAACGUGGACCCGUGAUCCGGGUUGCGGACAGUGUCUGGUGGGUAGUUUGACUGGGGCGGUCUCCUCCUAAAGAGUAACGGAGGAGCACGAAGGUUGGCUAAUCCUGGUCGGACAUCAGGAGGUUAGUGCAAUGGCAUAAGCCAGCUUGACUGCGAGCGUGACGGCGCGAGCAGGUGCGAAAGCAGGUCAUAGUGAUCCGGUGGUUCUGAGUGGAAGGGCCAUCGCUCAACGGAUAAAAGGUACUCCGGGGAUAACAGGCUGAUACCGCCCAAGAGUUCAUAUCGACGGCGGUGUUUGGCACCUCGAUGUCGGCUCAUCACAUCCUGGAGCUGAAGUAGGUCCCAAGGGUAUGGCUGUUCGCCAUUUAAAGUGGUACGCGAGCUGGGUUUAGAACGUCGUGAGACAGUUCGGUCCCUAUCUGCCGUGGGCGCUGGAGAACUGAGGGGGGCUGCUCCUAGUACGAGAGGACCGGAGUGGACGCAUCACUGGUGUUCGGGUUGUCAUGCCAAUGGCACUGCCCGGUAGCUAAAUGCGGAAGAGAUAAGUGCUGAAAGCAUCUAAGCACGAAACUUGCCCCGAGAUGAGUUCUCCCUGACUCCUUGAGAGUCCUGAAGGAACGUUGAAGACGACGACGUUGAUAGGCCGGGUGUGUAAGCGCAGCGAUGCGUUGAGCUAACCGGUACUAAUGAACCGUGAGGCUUAACUU
rnacentral:rRNA from 1 species